UACGGAAGGCAGCAGUAGGGAAUCUUCCGCAAUGGACGAAAGUCUGACGGAGCAACGCCGCGUGAACGAUGAAGGCUUUCGGGUCGUAAAGUUCUGUUGUUAGGGAAGAACAAGUACCAGAGUAACUGCUGGUACCUUGACGGUACCUAACCAGAAAGCCACGGCUAACUACGUGCCAGCAGCCGCGGUAAUACGUAGGUGGCAAGCGUUGUCCGGAAUUAUUGGGCGUAAAGCGCGCGCAGGUGGUCCUUUUAAGUCUGAUGUGAAAGCCCACGGCUCAACCGUGGAGGGUCAUUGGAAACUGGGGGACUUGAGUGCAGAAGAGGAAAGUGGAAUUCCACGUGUAGCGGUGAAAUGCGUAGAGAUGUGGAGGAACACCAGUGGCGAAGGCGACUUCUGGUCUGUAACUGACACUGAGGCGCGAAAGCGUGGGGAGCGAACAGGGAUUAGAUACC
rnacentral:rRNA from 1 species